AAAAGAAAAAAAGAAAGGUGCCAAAUGUUGAAACCAGUCGCUGAUGGUUGCCACGACGUCGAUUGCAUGGUGACUUUGGCUGGAUGCUUUCUCUGUCUCUUUGUUUCUUUUGUCUCCUCUGAGACUGUUGUUUUAAAAGAGCAAAAAAAUUACUAAACAAAACACAAUUAAUUCCUUAGCGAAAACAAGUUUUCUGUUGUUAUUGUCUUUUUGUUUUUUGGUUCAUAGAGCUUGAAGUAGAGAGCUAGCUGGUGGGGUGAUCCAUUGUGUGAAAGGAGAAGAAUGGAAAGGCAACCCUCUCCGAGUCUUGAAAGGGCAUCAUCGUUUGAGAUGGAUGAACCUCUCACUUUAACCAAGAAGCAAUACCAAGCUGCAUUGGCUGCGGUGAUCAAAGCCUCCGCCAAAGGAAGAGGAAAAGCUCCCGCGCCACCAGUUGGUGAAAAGCUGGCGAAGAAAAUUGCAGGGAAAGUAGGUGGCAAAGGAUGCGUUAAAUUCAACCUCUAAUUUUCUAUCUUAAUUGUGUCAUCCGAUAUCCCUAUGUAUUGCUUUUUAUUUUCAUGUUGGUUUUGUUGUAUGGUACGUGUGGCAGCAUGGGAAAUAUUACUAAUAAUUACUAUAAUUAAUGUUAUAGUAAUUAAUUAGUAUUCUAUGACCUUAUUAAUGUUGUGCUCUUGGCUUUUCGGUUAAAUAAACAAAUAAUCAACAACCUUUUCAUCUUCUGGAUA